AUCCUGCUGAUUUUUAAUUUAUUGGUACAACAAAGGCACAGGCGCUGCUGAUAGUCAGGAGAACCACAUUCUCGUCCCACUUCUGCCAUAGACUUCCCAGUGUGACCCUGACAUAUAGAACUGCCCAGCUUUUGUUGGAAAAGAGGAUUGAUCCCUUCAUCAGAGAAGGACAGUAUGGCUUGUGAAAAAGGUCCUAAUGGCCAGCUGUCUCAACCUAUUUGGCCAGAUGGGAGUUCUCUCUGAACAUGGGUGCUCGACGAGACCAGCAGGUCUCAAAACCUUAGCAAGGAGCUGGAUACAGGCAAGGAGCAAACGCAACAGCCAUUUUGUGCUCAGCAGUAGAUGCCACAUAACCUUGUCAUUUAAAACCUGUUAUCCAAUGAAGGGGAUGUAUAUGAAGGCAAUGGAGAGAACAGCCUUUUUGAAAAGGGCCCUGGCAUCUUUACCUUCCAUUUUAAUAACUACCAGGGAAGAGCAGGAGGGCAUAACCAUGCAUCUGAAAGACACCGCCUAGGAAAGCAUGGGAGGACCCAGCCUCCCAAAGCAACAUUUACUAUAGUAACAUCCUUUCAAAUAUGGAUGCUGCAUUAUGGUGUGGAGUCGCAAUGUGAUCACACCGCAUCAAGGAGCUUUGCUGCACAAAGCCAGCCCAUGGCACAGUAAAACUGUAUCUCCUCUUCCUCAUCCCACUUGGGGUUUCUAAAUGUCUUUGCCUUCCAGGACUCCAUACUCUACUAGUUUGGGGUUGGCUGUUGUACCAGUACAGGCCGGCCACUGCAAUCCUGCCGUUGUGCCUGCACUAGAUCUCCGCGAAAGCUCAUUUCAGCUGUAGGCAAUUAGGCUGGAGCAAAGCUUGGUCUCCAUCUGAAAUGUAAUGAAAAGGAUAGAGAGUCAGCUAUGGGUCCCGCUCUGACAGACUCUGCAGGUUCUUCUUCAACCAAAGCUGGUUAAGUGGAGCCUCCUGCCACCCCUGCUGCUUCUUGCGGUGUAAGGGGGAACUCUCCAUCAAAGUAACACCUGAAGAACAGCACUGUGUCAGCACCAGCUGCCAGUCUGAGGGAAACAAUCAUCAUAUACUACUGAACAAUUUAACAGGAUGUCUUUCCUCCUCCUCCUCCACUAAACAAACUGUUAAAGACCAUGACCUUUGGAAAACAUAACAAAAGCUGAAGAAUUUACAGCCGUUUGUUACAGGUCAAGGCAUAGAGCUAGUCCACAGCCUUGUAAUUCCAGCCAGAAGCUCCUUUAUCUCCUGUACUCUAAGCAAAUGCAACUCCCCUCCCUAUCACAGAUACACAUGGCAAAAGCGCUAAACACGAGACCAAUUAUUAUUUUCUGAACUUUGUGAUACAAGAUGCAGCCAAAGAAAUUAACAGUGGGGCAGUUGGCUUACAGUGAUCUGAAAAAUAUGCUGUGGGCAUUUGCAAGGGCUGCUCAGAGAUGGAAGCUGGCUACUCUCACUUUUCACUCCGUAUCUGACCUGUCAGUCCUUGUCCUCAAGGAAACCUGCACAAUACCUUCAAGAGGCAAGCCUGAAAGCUAAAAAUCAUUGAUUCAGGGACUGGUUUUAUGGCUCAUAACAAUUUGUAGCACUCCUCACUGCUUGCUAAUGCUAUAAUUGCCAGCUUCAUUUUCAGUGGUCACCUCCAGCAUAUGUGAAUCCCUUAUGCUUAACACUCUAUCCCAACUUAGCUAGAAGAGAAAUAACCCCUCCCCCUUCCCACACACACAUACAUUUAUUAUUUUAAAGAAACCUCGUGAUUUGUAAGCCAAUCUCAUGAUUUUUAGGGCCAGACUCCUGAUUGCUGAACAUUUGGAGUUGGCAAUACUGUGUUCGCACCCUAAUUGUUAAGAAACCUGAAGGGAAUGAAAAAGAAACUCCAAGGGACUAUGUUUUUUUCAAAAAAACAAAAAACAAAAAAACCCCCAAACCCUCAUGAUUUUUAAGCUAAGCUCAGGAUUUUGGGCGGCUGGACACAAGAGCAAACUAUCCCACUGCAUAAGAAAUAUAGGAAGUAUGGCAAGAGACCACCCUGGCUAAACCAGUAGAUCUUUAAUGAUCUAAAACUCAAAAAAGAGUCCUACAAAAAGUGGAAACUUGGUCAAAUUACAAAGGAUGAAUAUAAACAAAUAACAUAAGUAUGUAGGGACAAAAUUAGAAAAGCCAAGACACAAAAUGAGAUCAAACUAGAUAGGGACAUAAAAGGUAACAAGAAAACAUUCUACAAAUACAUUAGAUGCAAGAAGAAGACCAAGGACAGAGUAGGACCAUUACUCAAUGAGGGGGGAAAAACAACAGAAAAUGUGGAAAUGGCAGAGGUGCUUAAUGACUUCUUUGUUUUAGUUUUCACAAGACUGUUGGUGGCGAUUGGACAUCUAACAUAGUGAAUGACAGUGAAAAUGAGGUAGGAUCAGAGUCUAAAAUAGGGAAAGAGCAAGUCAAAAAUUACUUAGAUGUCUUCAAAUCACCAGGGCCUGAUGAAAUGCAUCCUAGAAUACUCAAGGAGCUGACUGAGGAGAUAUUGAGCCAUUAGCAAUUAUCUUUGAAAAGUCAUGGAAGACCAGAGAGUAGGGUGACCAGACAGCACAUGUGAAAAAUUGGGACAAGGGGUGGGGGGGGGGGGCGGGAGGGUGUAAUAGGACCCUAUAUAAGAUAAAGACCCAAAAAUCGGGACUGUCCCUAUAAUAUCAGGACAUCUGGUCACCCUACGGGAGAGAUUCCAGAAGACUGGAAAAGGGCAAAUAUAGUGCCCAUCUAUAAAAAGAGAAAUAAGGACAACCCGGGGAAUUACAGACCAGUCAGCUUAACUUCUGUGUACCCGGAAAGAUAAUGGAGCAAAUAAUUAAGCAAUCAGUUUGCAAACACCUAGAAGAUAAUAAGGUGACAAGUAACAGUCAGCAUGGAUUUGUCAAGAACAAAUGGUGCCAAACCAACCUAAUAGCUUUCUUUGACAGGGUAACACGCCUUGUGGAUAGGGGGAAAACAGUAGAUGUGGUAUAUCUUGAUUUUAGUAAGGCUUUUGAUACUGUCUCACACGACCUUCUCAUAAACAAACUAGGGAAAUACAGCCCAGAUGGAUCUACUGAAGCUGGGUGCAUAACUGAUUGGAAAACCAUUCACAGAGAGUAGUUAUCAGUAGUUCACAAUCAUGCUGGAAGGGCAUAUCAAGUGAGGUCCUGCAGGGAUCAGUUCUGGCUCCGAUUCUAUUCAAUAUCAAUGAUUUAGAUAAUGGCAUAGAGAGUACACUUAUGAAGUUUGCAGACGAUACGAAGCUGGGAAGGUUGCAAGUGCUAUGGAGGUAGGACUAAAAUUCAAAAUGAUCUGGACAAACUGGAGAAAUGGUCUGAAGUAAAUAAGAUUAAAUUCAAUAAGGACAAAUGCAAAGUACUCUGCUUAGGAAAGAACAAUCAGUUGCACACAUACAAAAUGGAAUGCCUAGGAGGGAGUACUGUGGAAAGAGAUCUGGGGAUCAUAAAGCUAAAUAUGAGUUAAAUGUAACACUGUUGCAAAAAAAGCAAACAUCAUUCUUGGGUGCAUUAGCAGGAGUGUUGUAAGCAAGACAUAAGAAGUAAUUCUUCCACUCUAUUCUGCUCUAAUAGGCCCCAACUGGAGUAUUGUGUCCAGUUCUGGGCACCACAUUUGAGGAAGGAUGUGGACAAAUUGGAGAGAGUCCAGAGAAGCGCAACAAAAAUGAUUAAAUGUCUAGAAAACAUGACCUGUGAGGGAAGAUUGAAAAAAUUGGGUUUGUUUAGUCUGGAGAAGAGAAGACUGAGAGGGGACAUGAUAACAGUUUUCAGGCACAUAAAAGGUUGUUACAAGGGAGAAGAAUUGUUCUCCUUAACCUCUGAAGAUCGGACAAGAAACAAUGGUGUUAAAUUGCAGUAAGGGCGAUUUAGGUUGAACACUAGGAAAAACUUCCUCUCUGUCAGGGUGGAGUAAACUGCCUACGGAAGAUGUGGAAUCUCCAUCAUUGGAGAUUUUUACGAGCAGGUUAGACAAACGCCUGUCAUGGAUGGUCUAGAUAAUACUUAGUCCUGCCAUGGGUCCAGAGGAUGACCUCUCGAGGUUCCUUCCAGUCCUACAAUUCUAUGAUUUUAAGUAGAGAAUCUUAAAGCACUUUUCCAAUAUUAGCUAAGCUUCACACCAACCUGGAGGGGUACAGUAAGCAAGUAAUCAGAUACCAUUUUACAGAUGGCUAAUGGCAUACCCAUUGGAGGUGAAUAGUAUUCCAUACUGGAUGCAGGGAAUCUCUUUUUGUGGGUUAGUUUACAGACCUGGAGAUUUGAAGCCUAAACUGUCUUGUCAAUCUUGUUAAAUAUUCCCAAGUCAGGACCUGUUAAUUUUGUUUACUGAUGGUCCUUAUUUGUAGCAAAUAAAAUAAUUCCCCUGCCCUUAAAUUACAUGGGGGGAAAAAUGGAAACGUUUCUGCCUUUCUGUUUAAAAACAAACAAAUCCUCUUCAUCUCGAUCCCGUGAGGUUAAUGAAAAAGAGGUCAAUGGGUUUUGGAUCAGUCCCACAGUGUUCCAUUAUCCCAGGAUGGAGAAAAUGAGCAUGCUAGUUUUUAUGACUAACAGCCAUUCUUUCCCAACAGAGAAAAGUCUGGGAUCUGAACACAGCUGCUAUUUUGCUCUGUGCAGUGAAUCACUUCUAAUUCUUAAGUAUCAAAACAGUGACAUGCAUUCCACCAGCCUAACAUGAGGACCUUUCUCCAUUAUUCCACCACAAGAAGAAUAUAAUAAUUCAUUUAUUCCUUAUUUUUUUAAAAAAACAUUACUAUUGCUGUAACCCCUUUCAACGCAGCCUGUAAAAAUAAAUUAAACAAAGGAAGCUGACCUUAGCUUAAAAUAUGAAAUCUAGUGGGAGGAGAAACACUUACAAAUGAUGGAAUGUUCACGUUUGUUACUCUGCUUGCAAGUGGUACAAAGCAAGAGGGUUUAUAUGAGCUAGCAACAAGAUGUUUAUUGGACAAAACAAUUCACAUUUAAUGAAUCCUGUGGAGCAGAAGAGUUACCACUAAAGAUGGAAUGGGGUUUUGUUGGUGGAACUGAAAUUUCAGAAUAAUAUCACCCCUACUCUAACAAACACCGGGGAUAUGACUACAUGUGCCUGACCAUAUUUGUAUGACUAGCUUUUUGGCUUUUUUUUUUUUUUUGUAUACAGGCUUUUGUAGUCAUUAUACAGUUACAACUAUCGAGAGUUUUACACCGUGCAUAUAACUGUGAUAUCUGGGCAUCCAGCCAGCUGCACCUAUUAUUU